UAAUACGGAGGGUCCAAGCGUUAUCCGGAUUUAUUAGGUUUAAAGGGUCCGCAGGCGGGAUUUUAAGUCAGUGGUGAAAGCCUACAGCUCAACUGUAGAACUGCCAUUGAAACUGAUAUCCCUGAGUGUGGUUGAAGUGGGCGGAAUAUGUCAUGUAGCGGUGAAAUGCUUAGAUAUGACAUAGAACACCAAUUGCGAAGGCAGCUCACUAAGCCAUUACUGACGCUGAGGGACGAAAGCGUGGGGAGCGAACAGGAUUAGAUACCCUGGUAGUCCACGCCGUAAACGAUGAUCACUCGUUGCUAGCGAUAUACUGUUAGUGACCAAGCGAAAGUGUUAAGUGAUCCACCUGGGAAGUACGUUCGCAAGAAUG
rnacentral:rRNA from 1 species